GUUCGGAAUUAUUGGGCGUAAAGAGUUUGUAGGGGGAUUGUUAAGUUUAAUGUGAAAUCCUGGAGCUUAACUCCAGAACUGUAUUAAAUACUAACAGUCUAGAGUCUUAAAGAGGAGAGUGGAAUUCCUGGUGUAACGGUGGAAUGUAUAGAUAUCAGGAGGAAGGCCAACGGCGUAAGCAACUCUCUAGGUGAGUACUGACCCUCAGAAAACGAAAGCGUGGGUAGCAAACAGGAUUAGAUACCCUGG
rnacentral:rRNA from 1 species